CCUGUCAAAGGCAAUCGAAAGUUUCGAUUGUCGGGGGAAAAGAAAGAGAAAAAGACGGUCAAGUUUAAUUGUAAAACAUGCAAACAAACGGUUGUUCCAAAAGAAAAGAAAAAUGGCGGGUGUUGGGUUAGAAAACGUGUGUCAAGUCACAGUUAACCCUGACACGCGAAUCUGAUGAUUACAGGCGAAUAGACGAAAGUGUAUUCGCCAAAGAAAGAGCUGGACACUGCAAGAUGGACACGUCCUUGGAAGAGGAAAAUUGGACUGAUCAGUUGAGACAGUUGCAAAAACGAUUCAGACACGGUAGAAAAGUGGAGGUCGAAAACGAAAAUUGCCCUCGUUUCUGCAUUGCGCGUUGCAGUGGAUACGUGAAAAACGAGAACUUUCAUUUCCAGAUGGAGUGGGAAGAAUGAAAAACUUUUGACUGGUGGAGUGGAACAGCAACCUUGGAAACGUGGUCGAAAAAGGUCUCUCCAACCUAUUUUUACCGUCCGUCUUAAUACCUCGUUGAGAAAUCCCAGGUAGAUUUCACUAGCCCCUCCUUUCUCGUGAUUUAUUUACCGGGGGGUCUCGGGGAACGAUGAGGACCCCAACUUGGCAAACUUUUCGUGCCAGACAUUAAAUUCAUGUCGAUGAGGCAACGUGAUGGAGAAAACAAAACAAUAUACCUCGUCACACGCAGCCAAACACAACAUGAAUGUUGAAAGGGAAGGCGGAGCUUGGCCGUUGGAGAGAAAAUUCCCGGACGUGCAACGGAAUAUCUCCAGCAGCGCAAGAGGUUUUUUUUUUUUUGUCCAUCAAAAUCCCAAUACAUCAUCAGCGCCGGUGACACGCCAUCAUUUCAAGCCUUUACCAUGUUGGAUGCUUUCUACCGUGCGGAACAGGAGGGGGAGCGAAAAACUUUUUUACGACCGACUUGUUUAGAGAAACCCGCCAGUGAGUUGAUGGACGUAACGGCGGGAAACGGGCUAGUGUGUGUGUGACACACUCACACGCGCCCAGAGUGGGCCAUAAACAUGAGUGAAAACUUCAUCCGUGUAACGCGUUCGUUGCCUAAUAAGAUUGCGUUCACUCAGCUAGAAUUGCUCGCUGACUGGCCGACUGAUUUGUCCGCGUAUAACGGAUCGCAAAACAUUUUCCGCCAUUCUGAACUCCCGCGUACCGUCUGCGAGUAAGAUUGUACCCCGUGCACAAACGGUGGGGGAGGAGCGAAACGGAACAAACGUGCGCCACUUACGAAGCGGAUUGGGAAUGAAGGCAGCUAUAGGCCAAUUAAGCCAAUUCAAGCCAGUCUUGAGAGAUGAAGGAGUAGUGGAACAAUAGCGGAAUAGCUAAGGCUGUGUGUGUGUGUGUAUAUACUGAGAGGCUGAAAGACGGGGGCCCAGCUUGGUGUUUAGCGAUUCCACCAACGUUCCGUCAACAUCUACGGCCGACUUUCGUGAACAUUCUGAUAGGCAAAGGAGGGAGCGAAGAAAUGCGGAGCAGAGAAAAACAGCUGGAUGCUGUCCACCAGCUCCUUAUUAUUAUUUACCAUUUAGAACGUGAAGUGCAACGCUGGCCGGUUGGAGGCUUGGAGGUCCACAUGAAUAGUUGCCGGCAAAGUCGGGCGUAGCUGGAGGAACGUUCAAAACUGCCAGGAGAGAAUCUGGUCCCAAGCGGGUGACGCGAGCGCUCCAUCCGUAUUUCGUAGCGCCUUUUAACAAGGAGGAAAUAUAUCGUCGUAAGCAGACUCACCAGACGACGCUAGUGCUGCCACCUCCUUCGAUCCUUCAUGCGUCCGCGACUCCUCGAGCGCCGAGCCGGCAAUCCUCUCGGUUUUAUGGUACCAAAAAAUGUACGGUGGGGUCUCAAUUAAUCCUGAAAUGACGCAAUGCAACGCGACUCCGCUACCGGACAUUACGUAAAUAUCCGGAGCUCCUCUGAUCUCGACCUGCGGAACUGUUUGGGUGAAGCGCGAAAAAUGAAGAAAAUUUACAUAAUUCCAUCUACCGCGUAUCUAUGAUCAAUUGACAGUUAAUCUGCCUCUCAAUGUCCUACCGACGAUGUUCAGUUGAUAGACGAGGCUUAGUUUGGGUUCGCUGGAUACUUGGCAUUCAUAUUUGCCAGCAUCGGAUCCGCGAACGGCUCUCAAAUGCAACGUCCAAAUGUCUGAAUUGGCCGGAUGGUGUACUUGGAACCGGCCGUCUCCUAUGAACGUGUCCGUAUCGACCGUCAGCAAAUGGCCGUCUCUCUUCCGCACCCAUGAGACCUAAUAGAAACCCGGGAAAAAACAUGAGACACGAGCUGCAAGGGCUAAUCAAUUAUAAACGCCGACUAAGAGUGCACGUCGUCUUGGCGUGAAAUACGAGUCUAUUGGAUAAGUACACGAACCGAUUUGUUGGCAACAUCCUGGACACGGCAGACAAGAUGAGCGUGAGCGCCGUAUUGAGUGGUCACGUUGAGUGGCAAGGACACGUCGAACGAAGGCAUCGUCGCCAGCUGCUUGUUCUCGUGCGAAUGGUGGACAGCCAUGCUGCCGGAUUCUUUAGGACUCCAUAAAUCCGAAACAACGGCCACCGCUGAAACUGACGACGGGUUCCAAACAUACGCUGAUAAAAGAAAAGGGAGCUGACUGUGCUGAGAGGGCUUAUGCUAAUCCGUCUGGAAAUGUUGGUAUCCACUUGGUCCCUUUGCUGCAUCGUUUUAUUUACAGCAUGGCAACAGUAAAAGAAGAAGCAGUGAAAUGGGAAGAUCAAUUUAUUCAUGGGCGUCUUAAACCCGAACGUUCGUCUACUCGACGUUUCUACCUAUUCGACCACUGCCAGUUGCGGACGUGUAUACGAGAUUCGGAUAUCAAGUGUCUGUGUGCUGAGCAGACAUUCGUGUGUGUGUGCGUACGUUUGAAUGUCUAAAAUGGCAACAUGCGCAACGGACGGAUGUGACGUUCCCUUGAUGACUCACACAAAGAAAAAGGUAUACGAUUUCAAUACUCUAAUUCGGUAACGGAAGCACAACGGGCGUAUGUAAAUGGCACCGUGGAAUCUAUGGCUUUACAAUAAUGAGACCCUUCCCAUCCCUUAGGGGGGGGGGGGUAUGUAUACAAGUUAGUGACAUAUUAGAAGCGAAAGAGUUUCAAUUUUCAACAAAUACUUGGAUUCCUUGAAUCUCUGCUAUUUCCUAAUCAAAAGCAUUCCUCUUUUCAAGCAGUUCAUUCUUCCGUAGCCUUUAAGGGUUGCCUGAAGUGAAUGUCUUGAAAAGUUUCAAAUUAAAAAUGGGGAAAGAAUAAGAAGAAAAAAAAAUUAGUUCUCAGUUUUCACGUAUCGUACACGUUGGUCUUGGAAAUUGUAUACGUGCGCGUCUUCAUUAUUGUGUAUGCCCCCCUUUUGUUAGUCCUACUUAUGGAACAACAAACGAAAUGGAAAAAAAUGGCAUUGCGAAACUCUAGAAACGAGGAGAAGAAGGUCGAAAGGUAAACUUUGCUGCUAGAACGUCGAGAAAGUGACUGAGCUAAUCGACUGUAAAGUGACAUCCGUAUAAUAGUUUGUAAGUAGCAUGCAAUGAACGACAUUGACGUACGAGUGGCUCUUACCUAAAAAGAAAGAAAGGAACCAAAGGUUAAAUGUUUAAUUGUAAUGUUUUCUUAAUUACUAAUCCCUUUUUUUAUUGUAUAAAAAAAUUGUAGGGCUUGGGGUUUUUUAAAAGUCAAGAGACGACAACGGACCAGUCUAAUUAAUUUGGGGUGCGCAUCGCAUUUCUCAAAAGUCAUUAGAUGCUAAACCGACCGUGCGUUUUGACUUGGCCAUCAUUUUUCUCCGUUUCUUUUACGUAAUGACUCGCAGUCGUUGCAAUUGUUAGCCUGCCCAGUUUAGAGAUGACUUUGACGACAACCCCGUGCUUCUAAUUAUCAACUCGGUGAGCAGUUUCUUCCUAACCAUCAACUACCCCGCAGAGCUUCGUUUACCAUUAAACGACGCGUAAUCACUAGAUAGAUAACGAGUCCUUUGAGAUGCUUCUUCCUUCCCCCUCCCCCCUUUUCUAAUCGUAUGUUCGGAUGGCGGUCAGGCGGAAGUAGAAAGAAGAUUUUUGAUGGGUGUCUCCCAUUUAUAUUUUUUUCCCCUACAGAUGUCGUGUACGCAUUCGAGCGCGUCUGGCCGCGAUGGAUAGUCGAACGUAACAGAAACUGCGCCGAGAUAAAAAAUAAUAAUACUAAUAAUAAAAUCAUAAAAAAAAAAAAUGAUGAAACUUGAAGUGACGUGCCAAUGUCACCGUGGGUUGGCAAACUUGCAGUCAGGUUAAAGAACGGGACUCGCUCGUUAAGCCAAGAGCUCAACAGAGCGCACAAAAGAAAUGAGAGUCUCUAUAGUUUUUCACUUUUCUAUCAUCAUUAUCAUCAGCAUGGCUGAUACUUGCUUUUUCCUUUUCUUUUUUUUUUAUGGAAGAUUUUUCAAACUUUUUUUCCUUUUUUACUCUCUUCAUGGGACAACGGGUUUACUGCAGUCUCUCUUUUUUUUGCGGGGCGACCCAUCUCCGGGCCUUCCAAUUCUUUUUGAUGGCAUUUUCUUGUGUAUUAAGAAACCGGGGAAAGGCUCGAGGAUAAGAAGGAGGUGAAGCAUUGCCGAGACUUGGCCCAGUUUCAAAGUCUCUGUAGCCUCUUUGAUGGUGAACAAGGCAUCCAAAUUCGCGUAGACUAUUCACGAAUGGCAAAAAGAGGGAGGGGACUCUCUCUCUCGUUAAGAAGGGGGGAGAAAAAAAAGUUGUCCGGAGAGAAGGGAAAAAAAGGGUGGGGGGGGGGGAGACUAAGAAGAAGAUCCGGUGAGAGCGGAUCCCACGGCCUUUGGCUCGUCUAGCAAUUUGGACAUUUUCUCUCGUUUGUGCCUUCAAUCUCUAUCUCUGUGUGUGUGUGUGUGUGUGUGUGUGUGGAACUUUAGGGACUGCAUGCGGCACUGCGUUGGCAAGUUAACUUUGCAUCGUUCCGCGUUCGGUGUCUUGCCGCCUCCUAUUGCAUCAAUGCGAUUUAUGUUUCUAUCCGUCUCACUAUCUCUCCGUUUGUCUACAGCCCACGGACAUGAAUACUGACUAUAUCUAUAUCCGUAUACUGGAUGUGUAUAUUUAUGUAUUUAUAUUCCGCAGGCUUCUUUGUGUGUGUAUGUUAAGACGCAUUUCAAAGUGUGGCCUGGAUCUUUGAAAAUGCAGCCAGAAAAGUUGUCCUAGUAUUUUAGCUGUUGGUGGUGGGUGGAAGACGAAAAAUCAAAAAAACGUGCUCAGCUUGCGGAAAAUGAAGAACAGACGUUAUAACUAAGAAAAAAAAGAAAUAGUAAAGUUUAAUACUCGAAUGUGUGUUAGCUUUUCAGCAUUGCUAAUCAAAAAUGCCUGUUCGCAUCCGCACAAGAAAUAUCAAACAGGGGGAAAGAGAGUGGAUUCGGAGAAGCUUUUAAAAAUGCAUGGAUUCUUAUUUAUUUAUUUUUAUUUUUUCUAAAAUAUAUUGCGGCAUUAUGAGUCUGCAUGCGCAAUUUUCGGAAUGGGAUAACAUUUUAGAUUCUUGGUAUAUUGCAACACGUAGCGCGUGGAUCGAUUUUAGUUCUUUGAAGGACUAUCGCAAUAUUUUCGGAAUUCUUUGCUGCAUUGGAUCGUCGCCAUCUGUUUAUAAGCAAAGUCUAAAUUAUUGGUUACAUAAGUAAGAAGAAGAAGAGCAACAAAAAACAAACGCGUUUGCGAUAGUGGGAGGGGAUAGUCGUUGACGGGUCUUAUUGGCAAACUGACCGGCAAUUUCCAAGCCAUUUCCUAUCGAUUCGGUGAUGUGUGUACGAGGCCAAUCGGCUCUUUUCUUCCCCCUCUUUUUCUUUUAGACAAGAAGCGCACAUCCUGGAUGACUUGCGUGAUCCGUUUCAGUGACUUAUACAUUCUGUUUCUACCUAUUUUUUUGUUUUGUUUUUGUUUUUCAUCGAAAGAUAAAAGAAAUGAAUUAGAUAACAGAAGGGACAAGUCAAACUGCCUCGAAAGCCAUUUUCCUUGUCUAGAUAUAUUUAAAGAUAUAUCCGUACGAUUCCGUUUGUACAGGAACGAAAUCAAUUCUCUCGUGUUCGUUGUGUGUGUGACACGGACGACAAUGCAAUAGCGAUCUCAGCAGAGUAUGUACAUUUCUUUUUAUUAUUAUUAUUAUUUUAUAGAAUAAAGCAAGACCGAUAAAAAAAAGAAGGGGAAAGACAUAAAUCAAUAGAUGGGACAGAAGAAUGUAAGCGCAAACCAAAAGGGAAAAGACGGGCCCAUACAUCUUUAUAUUGAUGUUUGCAGAUCGGGGCCGACUGUUCGUGUUCUAUCUCAAUGUCGUUGCAAUAUAUAUUGGAGACCGAAGACACUGGUUCUUAAGACACGCCAAUGGUAUUGUCCUCAUUAAGGAGACGUGGGUGCGGGAGAUGGCAGACGAGCCAAACUGAUUGGGUUUGUGUCUACAUCUCUUUCGUCUUUUAUUUAUCUUGUUCGCCAUUUCUUUGUCCAUCAAACGCAACAAAAUCCUGAGCAACACAUAUCUCUGUGUUGCUGCUAUCCCACUCUUCAUCAUCAUUUCGCAAUCUAGGACUGCCGUUGCGCCAGCGAAAUCAUCAAUGGGGUUAUACGAGCUCGUAUAUAAAGACGACAGUGAUGAAUUGUGUCUAUUUUUAGACGCCAGUUGUACGUAUUAUAAAAAGACUUUGGGUGUGAAUAUCCAUUUCAUCUAGACACUCCCCCUCCAACAGUUGGAUGGUCGCCGUGAUUGCCCUUCGUUCAUUCACAGCGCACCACUAGAGCGACCUUGAUUAUCAGCAAGAAAUUAGACACUAUAAACAUGAAAUGCAAUUUACUCCGUACAGCAGUAAAUUCUUAAUAAUUAGGACUUCGAGUUUAUAGGCAAAUGAAAAAAACAAAUGUGUAUUUCCGCGUUGGAAAGGAAGCUUGUUAAUUACCCCGCUGUUUGCUUAUAUUCGGAGAAUGUUGGUCUAAUAUAACAAAGUAGUACAUUUUCCUUUCAUAUAAACCGAAACUUGAUAGAAACAAGGUAGACAAUGGAUAUAUAUCUAGUGCAGAGUGUACGUACAAGAGCAAGGGAAACCCCCCAAAAAAAACAAUUGAUAUUAACUCGGUAAAAAUCUAAGUAGCUCCUUCAUUCAGAGCACGCGCGUUACACGGGCCGACGCUACGUGCUGUGGCCCUCUUUUUUCCUCCCCCCCAACAGAUCCGUAAGGACGACAAAGCGAAAAAACAAAUAAAGAGACGUGCUAGUUAGAUAUAUAUAUAUAAGCAAUCGGAAUUGGAGCGGAAUCGAUCGGCAGACACACGCUUAUUACGUCCUCUUCCUCAUAUUAUACUAGUCUCUUUUCUCCUGUUGAAACUUUCUGUCGUUAUUCGACUAGUAGAUAAGACCAAAGGCGCAAAACUAACUUUCUUUACACAAAACGCAUCCAAUAAAGAAGUGAACAAUAAAACAAAAUUCCUUCCCCCCCCCCCUUUCUUUUUUCUUCGUCUGUUGUGUGUGUUCUUGUAUAUAACUGGCCUUUUCUUAAUAUAUUCGCUGCAAAAGUCCUGUGUAUUAUAUAUAUAACUCGUAUAUAGUUACACACCAGUUGUUAUGGCUGUGUGUGUCUCUCUAAUCCGAUAGCGCAUAUAGUCCAAUUUCUCGUGUGUUCAAUCGGCUUAUUUCAUUCCGCCCAUCUGGACUAUUUAUUUAUUGUACAUAUAGGCUCGUAUAUACUUUAUAGACGAGCUCAUUUCAUUGCACAAGUUUUACGUGCUCAUUCGUUUCUGAUUGAGCCCCAACUUGAUUAUUAGGUCGCGAGGUCGAGACUGUGACACAGUACAUUCGAAAUCAAAGUAAAGGAGGGGUCCGAUAAAUUGAAUGAAAUCUCCGCCAAUUUUUUAAAAAGGUUUUCUUUGCGUGUGUAUCCAUUUCAUCUAUUUCCUUCUCACUUUUGCCUUAGACGUAUCUACACUAAAAGUUCUUUUCAUAUAGAGUCUGCCGUGCGAGUGGGAUGCUGAUGUUGACAGCCUCGUGAAAAGCCGGGAAAAUUGAAACCUAGAAGUGUGUACACAACGCCUUUGAAAGG